UAUCUCGUAUGACUAUUUGGUACUUACAGUGUUAGACUUUGUCGUAACGUAAAUCAAAUUUACGCUGUAUUAUUCAUUACCAAGGAUUUAGAAAGGAACGAGAACAAUUAUUUACAAAAUCUCGCUGGGAUAAAUUCCGUGAAUGUGCCCAUGAAUGGCUAAAACUUGAUGGGCGAGCGAAAUGGAUAGCUGAACAGGCGACUUCGGGUGAUAUAAUCAAACAAGGAAUUUAUCGACGCGCCAAAAGAUACUGGAUUUCACCCAACAUGCUACAGGCCUUUUACAGACAAAUUCCGAAUUGGGUCUGCCCGUAAUCGUAUAGAUAAAGAAAAAUUAAAAUCCCCGGCUACAAUCCAACCAGGGAAUAGCGGGAGUGUAGACGAUCUGGGACCUAGCUCUCCAAACAAAUUACGCUCCUGAAGCAAAAAGAAAGAGUAAAUCGGUGCUGCCUGUUGUUUGUAUUAUAUGUAAAAAACGUGACAGAUUUGUCACUGUUGGAGAAAAUAGGAAGAAGGAUGUAUUAACACAGACUCAGACCCAAACAGGCUCAGGCCAACUGUUGAAAGCUGCUGAAUUGAAAGAGGAUGAAGAUAUUUUAAGGCAUAUCAGAGGGCAAGAUUGUGUGGCCAUUGAGGUCAGAUAUCACCAAAAAUGUUAUAGGCAAUAUACAUGUACUGAAUUUCUUAGACAGUUAUCAGAAAGCAAAGAUGACUAGCCCUCCGUCGAAUAUUAAACCACAUACAAUAUAUUCUGUGAAGAUGUCAUAAGAGAAAGAAUCAUAAAUGGCCAGCAAAGUUGUCUUGUACAGAGAGAGAGAGAGAGA